rnacentral:Y_RNA from 1 species
GGCUGGUCCGAUGGCAGGGGGUUAUCAGAACUUAUUAACAUUAGUGUCACUAAAGUUGGUAUACCACCCCCCCACUGCUAAAUUUGACUGGCUUUAA